GUGGGUAUGGCGCAGUUGGCUAGCGCGCAGAUUGUGGCUCUGGAGGCCAAGGGUUCGAGUCCCUUUACCCACC
rnacentral:tRNA from 1 species